UACAGAGGUGGCAAGCGUUGUUCGGAAUUACUGGGCGUAAAGGGCGCGUAGGCGGCCUGUUAAGUCGGACGUGAAAUCCCUCGGCUCAACCGGGGAACUGCGUCCGAUACUGGCGGGCUUGAAUUCGGGAGAGGGAUGUGGAAUUCCAGGUGUAGCGGUGAAAUGCGUAGAUAUCUGGAGGAACACCGGUGGCGAAGGCGGCAUCCUGGACCGACAUUGACGCUGAGGCGCGAAAGCCAGGGGAGCAAACGGG
rnacentral:rRNA from 1 species